rnacentral:rRNA from 1 species
GUUAAACCAUAAGAGGUCCAGCCUGCCCAGUGACCCUGUUCAACGGCCGCGGUAUCCUAACCGUGCGAAGGUAGCGUAAUCACUUGUUCUUUAAUUGUGGACUAGUAUGAAUGGCACCACGAAGGCUAUACUGUCUCCUUUUUCUAAUCAGUGAAACUAAUUUCCCCGUGAAGAAGCAGGGAUAAUAAUAUAAGACGAGAAGACCCUAUGGAGCUUCAAACAAUAUAGCAAUUAUUGUAAAAUUAUAAGCUUCUGAACCCCUAAAUAUUAAAAUUUUAUGACUAUAAGUUUUCGGUUGGGGUGACCACGGAGAACAACAUAACCUCCACGCUGAAAGAAUUACUUCUAAACUAAGAACCACCCGUCUAAGUAUCAAUACAUUGACACUCAUUGACCCAAUACACUUGAUCAACGAACCAAGUUACCCUAGGGAUAACAGCGCAAUCCACUUCAAGAGCCCAUAUCGACAAGUGGGUUUACGACCUCGAUGUUGGAUCAGGGUAUCCUAGUGGUGCAGCCGCUACUAAAGGUUCGUUUGUUCAACGAUUAAAACCCUACGUGAUCUGAGUUCA